rnacentral:snRNA from 1 species
GUGCUUGCUUUGGUGGUGCAUGUACUAAAAUUGCCCUUGUGCAAGGAUGACAUGCAAAUUCGUGAAAUGUUCCACAUUUUU